GAGUCUGAACAUAUUUUAACAUUUCACUGAACAUCUAUGAAGUCUGUUCCAAUGUUGGACUCAGCCCUAGCAGCCGUGCAGGAACAGACCAAAUGGCAAACGAUCGCGAUGGCUGACUGUUCAGUCGUCGUCUUCUACGCUUAGCCGAACAUCUGUAUCAAUUUUUCACAUUUUUAUGGCCCUGACCAUUGUUCUUGCAGAUCUGCCACACUCUUACCCCUGCCUACAAGAGAGACAAGCUGACACUACUCUUCCUCUAGGUCAGCUUUUGGUUACCAGAGGACUUUUGACGGUGCUACGUUCUACCCAAUCAACAGGAGAACUUUUGUAGUAGCACCUGGAUGAAGUCAGAGGGUCAGCAUAACUCAUACUGGCAAUAAAGAAACUAGGCGAUCUGACCAGGCACUAGAUCAUGUGAAUUAAUGGAUUUGAAAGAAGAAAGCAAGGAUGAUCCAGGUGUAAGUUUUAGGAAGAAAGAAUUCCACACAAGUAGUCACUUAAGUCCUGUAUCUUACCUCCCAAAAGAAGCCCUCAGCUCACCUAUGGUCAGAGGAAACGCUACAAAAAGACACACUGAAAGCGUAUCUCAAGAAAACUGAUAUGGGCAUCACAAGCUGGGAGGAGGAAGCCACCAACUGACCUCAAUGGUACCACAUCAUCCAUCAGGCAGCGGCCUGCUUCAAGGAGAAGCACCUGGCCCUCAAAGCUGAAAAGACCGAGAGAAAGAAGGAAGGGGGGGAAAAAAAAUUUUCUCCCAGCAGAAGCUGCUUUGACAGGAAAUGUCUGUGCUUACUGCAGGUAGAUUUGGGUGGAUCCAGGAUCGGACUCCUGAGUCGUUUCAGGACCCAUAUGUAAAUCCGUGGUAAAGAUCAUCCUCGAAUUGAGGGAAUCGCUGACGUAUUAACAUAUCUGUAUGCCAAGUUCACAAGGUUCUAAAAAGAUUUCAGAAGAAUUUAAGGUAUGAGUCACUGAAGAAGAAGGGAAAAUUAAGAAAUAAGAAAGUAUAUUUGCCCAUGGGUGACCACAGCCAAGGAAAGAGAUACAAAAAAUUGUUUGGUACCAAAGAAAGAGGAACCAGCAACACAACUGCCCAUUUCACAACCACAAAGCAAUCAAGCUUUUUUCUACAGUGCCAGUUUCACAGAAACUACACAUUCCUGAAAGUAUUUCUGGGGCAAAAGAGUCUACCAACAAAACAAAGUCAACAUUAAAAAUUAAACACUGCGCAGCAAUAAAGCAGACAUUCUUCAACAAGUACCUGGAGUGAUAUAAGUGCAUUAUAAAAAUCACACUAAGGCUUAUUUUUAAAAGCCAUAGAUGCGCUCAAAUUUAUUUUUAAGAGAAACUGCACAUUAGAAUAGUUUGCAUGAACUGUACCACAGAUAACAUAAGACCAUAAGAACGGCCAUACUGGGUCAGACCAAAGGUCCAUCCAGCCCAGUAUCCUGUCUACCGACAGUGGCCAG